rnacentral:rRNA from 1 species
CCUACGGGUGGCAGCAGUGGGGAAUAUUGGGCAAUGGAGGAAACUCUGACCCAGCAACGCCGCGUGCAUGAUGACGGCUUUAGGAUUUGAAAGUUCUUUUUUAAGGGAGGAAGAAAGUGAUGGUAGUUUAGGAAUGAGCCUCGGCUAACUAUGUGGCAGCAGCCGCGGUAAUACGGAGGAGGCAAGCAUUAUCCGGAAUGACUGGGCGUAAAGGGUGCGUAGGUGGUUUGACAAGUUGGUAGCGUAACUACGGUGCUCAACCACGGCACUACUUCCAAUACUGUCGGACUAGAGUGCAGGAGGGGCAAAUGGAAUGUCUGGUGUAGCGGUGAAAUGCGUAGAUAUUAGGAAGAACACCGGUGGCGAAGGCGAUUUACUGGACUAUAACUGACGCUGAGGCACGAAAGCGUGGGGAGCAAACAGGAUUAGAUACCCUUGUAGUC